AUUGAACGCUGGCGGCAUGCUUUACACAUGCAAGUCGAACGGUAACAGGCCGCAAGGUGCUGACGAGUGGCGAACGGGUGAGUAAUGCAUCGGAACGUGCCCAGUCGUGGGGGAUAACGCAGCGAAAGCUGCGCUAAUACCGCAUACGAUCUCUGGAUGAAAGCGGGGGACCGAAAGGCCUCGCGCGAUUGGAGCGGCCGGUGGAAGAUUAGCUAGUUGGUGAGGUAAAGGCUCACCAAGGCGACGAUCUUUAGCGGGUCUGAGAGGACGAUCCGCCACACUGGGACUGAGACACGGCCCAGACUCCUACGGGAGGCAGCAGUGGGGAAUUUUGGACAAUGGGGGCAACCCUGAUCCAGCAAUGCCGCGUGAGUGAAGAAGGCCUUCGGGUUGUAAAGCUCUUUUGUUUGGGAAGAAAAAUCUGGUGUUAAUACCACUGGAUGCUGACGGUACCAAAAGAAUAAGCACCGGCUAACUACGUGCCAGCCGCCGCCGUAA
rnacentral:rRNA from 1 species